UACGUAGGGGGCAAGCGUUGUCCGGAUUCAUUGGGCGUAAAGAGCUCGUAGGCGGUUCGGCAAGUCGGGUGUGAAAACUCCAGGCUCAACCUGGAGACGCCACCCGAUACUGCUGUGACUUGAGUCCGGUAGGGGACCACGGAAUUCCUGGUGUAGCGGUGAAAUGCGCAGAUAUCAGGAGGAACACCGGUGGCGAAGGCGGUUCUCUGGGCCUUACCUGACGCUGAGGAGCGAAAGCGUGGGGAGCGAACAGG
rnacentral:rRNA from 1 species